GGGCUCAGCAUGACCAACAGAGCCCACAGGUGAGCAGGCACAGGUGAAGACUUCACCAUGACCCAUGGAGCCCACAGGUGAGCAGGCUCAGGUGAGGGCUUCACCAUGACCAAUGGAGCCCACAGGUGAGCAGGCACAGGUGAGGACUUCACCAUGACCAAUGGAGCCCACAGGUGAGCUGACUAGGUGGGAGAGUUUCACCAUGACCAACAGUGCCCACAGGUGAGCAGGCACAGGUGAGGGCUUCACCAUGACCCAAGGAGCCCACAGGUAAGCAGGCACAGGUGAAGGCUUCACCAUGACCAAUGGAGCCCACAGGUGAGCAGGCUCAGGUGAGGGCUUCACCAUGAUCCAAGGAGCCCACAGGUGAGCAGGCACAGGUGAGGACUUCACCAUGACCAAUGCAGCCCACAGGUGAGCAGGCUCAGGUGAGGGCUUCACCAUGACCAAUGGAGCCCACAGGUGAACAGGCACAGGUGAGAGCUUCACCAUGACCCAUGGAGCCCACAGGUGAGCAGGCUCAGGUGAAGGCUUCACCAUGACCAAUGGAGCCCACAGGUGAGCAGGCACAGGUGAGGGUUUCACCAUGACCCAUGGAGCCCACAGGUGAACAGGCUCAGGUGAGAGCUUCACCAUGACCCAUGGAGCCCACAGGUGAGCAGGCUCAGGUGCACCCCUCCUCCAGUUCCUCCUGCUCUCUGGCUGUCGGCAUUCUGUGCCCAGAGCAUAAGAGUCCAGGCUGACAGAUGGAGCUCAGAGGCCAGGGCAUUUACCCUGUCUCAGCCCUGGCCCUGCCCCAGGGCCUCAGCACUUGUCAGAAAACAGUGUGAUUCCUGUACUGCCGGUGUCUACGGUCCCUAAACGCCCCGCGUUCUCGCGUGACCUCCUGACGGAACCCAGGCACCCUCCCUUCACCUCCCUGCUUCUGCAGCAGGGAGGCUGCCGGUACGUGAAGGCUCCGGCCUGGGUGUCCCUGCUCUAGGCCUUCCGGAGGCACCCCACCGAGACAUCAGUUGGAACCAGUCAGUUCUCCAGCCGUUGCCAGGUCCUGCUGCUUCCCUGACCAGCAUACUUGCCACACUACCAUCCACUGCUAUGACCCUCCAGCAGCCCACACACCCAGGCCUCAUAGGAGCCUGGCUCUCAUUCUGCCUCAGGAGGUGCUGGCCAGGUGGCCUCUCCUCAGAGACCCAGGACCUGUCCAAGGUACCCCUCCAGGUGCCAUAGCUUGCAGACACACCCAGGCCCCAGUCUCAGCCUCACCUUCUCAGCUCGCAUCUUCAGCCCUGCUCUGCGUCAUCCACAUGGCAGUCAGAGUACCUGGUCAGGCUGCAGCCUGGCUGGACAGACAAGGCCCAGAGGACCCAGUGCACAGUGGCUCCCUAUUCAGACAGUCACCAACUUAAAAAAAAAAAAAUUAAAAUGCAUCCCAAAUGUAAGUUUAUCAUAAGAGACCAGAAAGCCGGCCUCAGUACACAGAACUAAU